ACGUGAGGGCAAACACAUGAAAUCAGACAACACUGCGGCAGUAACUGACAGUGCACAAAGGCCAGAUGCCUGCACAUGGUGCCCAGCCUUUGUGCUGCUCCUUAUGGACCUGGUUAAAUGAAGGAGCAGCCAGCAAUGGGACACCAGAAGGGCAAAGCAUGUCCUCAGUGACCAUGGAUGGAGACAGCCGCAUUCACAGAUCAGCGCUGCCAUGGAAACUUGGUUUGCAGAGCUCCCCAUGGCAAACAAGGAAUGAAUGCCAGGUGAGCAACAACCUGUGACUUGGGAGAUAUAGUUCUACAUUACAUUCCCUUACAGACUUCUUUAUGACCAGCUCCUCUGUCUUGGGAAUAUAGACAGAUGCAGUGUGCUCUCUGUAGGCUGGCAGUGCCUGCCAUGAGGGCCACCUGUGUUAUCUGGAACAUGCAGCCUGGUGACAGCUAUACUCAAAGCCCAGCAUGGAUGCACUGCAGCAGUCCUAAGGCACAGAUGAAGGGUUCAACACAACAACUUGCAGUCUAUGUGGUGAAACCUUAUCCCAGAAUCAUAGAAUCACAGAAUCGUAUAAUGGCUUAGCUUGCAAGGGAACUUAGAGACCAUCCAGUUCUAACCCCCUGUCAUGGACAGGACUGCCACUGAACAGAUCAGGCUGCCCAGUGCCCCAUCCAAUCCAGCCUUGAAUGUCUCCAGUGAUGAGGCAUCCAUAACUCUCUGCACGCCUGUGCCAGUAAACCUUCCCAUGCCUGAACCAACAGCUCUGCUUGUGUGAGGCUGGUGUAGGUAUCUCCAUGCGCACCUCUAAUAGCAAAAGUGCCAUUUGUCACCUCAAAUUUCAGACCUGGAUGGCUAGAAAUCUAGUAAUGAAAGCCCAGUAGAUACCUGCAGUGCUCUAAAAAGUGUGUUUCGUGAGACUGAUGCCCUGAAUGUUAUUACUUGACUGCAUGUUUUACAGCCAGCUGCAUGCCCAUUUGGGGGAAUUUUCGUUUAAAACUUAUGUCCGCAGCAAGGGAAAUGUCAGAAAACACAUUAUUAAACUCAAAAUUGAACCGAUGAAUUCUUCCCAGACAGUAAAACAUUUUCCCUCUCAGUGGAAGAGACUGUGGUUUGACAUUCUUUGUUCUUCAUAAAUCCAAGUUAACCAGUUCUUUUUAUCAGAGAGUUAUUCCAAUUUGCUAUGAAGCAGUUGCUUAAUACUUUGUUGCAGUAUCUUGCCAAGGUUAAACUGGUUGGUUGUUCCCCAUAUUUUCCAUUUCUGCAUAAGAUAGCACGUCAACCUUUCUCUAGUGCCUAGGGGCCUUAUAAACCCACAUGAGUUUCUAAUGGCUCAGCAGUUGUCUUGCCUAAGCUGAAAACUGAAUGUCCUCAUUCCUUCCUGGUGUUGGUCUUAUACAGAGAAGUUUGAGGAUUUAAGACUCAGCUGAAUGUAAAACCAGAAGUAUGGGAAAAGUGCUGGAAAUUGAGAAAAGUCAGUGGCAAAAUUUCCACAGCUUUUAUUGGAAGGAAAAUUUGGAUCUAUGGGCAUGAAUCUGAAAAGGGUAAGACUGGGUUACGUAAAACUGGAGGCUAGCAAUCAAUAUGAGAAAACACUCAACUCAUACAAUGUACUCUAAAUUAUCUGUUUGUGGCAGAUCAUUGCAAAAACAUGAACUAAAAGAAGGAAAACUGCAAAAGCCAAGUCCCCUGAUGUUAGUAUUGGAGCUGUCAGUUUGCAGGUUCUGGUUGGGUGCAUUCAUUUCUGCUGAGCUGCUGUGGUAUCCUGCUGCCCACAGGUACAUGAGAACAUCAGCCACCCUUGUUGUCCAAUGCCCCUUGGCUAAAUGACCUGAACAUGUGUUUCCCUUUGUUCAAAACCAGAGGGAAAGUUUCUAUUGCAGCCUAUGUCUCAGAAUGUAAAAGUCCAUGUGUCCGCAUCUGGCUCACUCCAGCUGGGAUGCCUCAAAGCUGCCUUUUCUGCCUAUCAAAGUGUUAAUAGUUUCAUGCUAAGUACGCUAAAGAGGUUCCUUAGAUCCUCAUUUACAUAUGUUUUGUAUUACCCGUGUUUUUGCUUUUCAUGGUUUAUUUUUCCCUCCCACAAGUUGCCACUAUCCCCUUCAUUAAUCCAUCUAAUUGAAACCUGACAUUUUCUGAUUUAUUGUUCCAAGUUCUCUUAAAAUCACCAGUCAGAAGAACAGUUGUACUCCUGUGUAGUUAAAAGAAGAUGUUCAACAGCAAAUUUUGUCUUAGGUGUGUAUAAUGAUUUUUUUUUUUUCAUUUACCCCAGUAAAAGAUUAAAAGAUAACCUUGCAAAGCAUGAGUUUCAUUAAAUCAGCCAUUCAGCGGGCAGGCUGAAUUUUUCAUUUGGAUUUACUUUGUUUUGUGCUUGAAUAUCUUUUAUUAGUAUGUGUUGGAAAAAAGAGGAGGGGCUUGCUAAAAGGAGGACAACGGCAUCCUCUCAUUGGAGCUCAGUCUAUGAGUUACCCUUUCAUGGGAGCUGAUUUGAUCUCCUUUUUUGCUUCUUCGAGCAGGGUGUUUUACCUGCCUUUAUCUUCUGACCUGUAGGUGUGAUGUUACCACCUCUGUCUCUUUUGGAGCAAAGCCUGGGCCUUGUCAAAGCUCCCCUACUGACUGACGCAACAAUGUCAGGAACAGCAUCUACCAAACUGUCCAGAGGGAACAGGGAAAAUCAGCAAGAGAAAAACGUAUCCACGACGGAGAACUAUCGUGGAGGCCUCCUGCUGAGAUCCAUCCUGAUGUUGGAACAGGAAGCAAAGUCAAAAAGUGGUGUGAUUGUGUUGACACUACUGCCUGCUGCAGUGAGUCCUGCUUGUCCCACCUGAGCAUUCACAGAGAACAACUGUUGUGGAGCUGCCAGACUCACCCUGCCUUCAUUGUGCACUUCCAUGGACAUGGAGAUGGCAUGGGACAUGGGACAGGCAAGUCUGUGGGCUGCCAUGUUUCCUGAUAUCAGUGAGAAAGGGGAAAGGUGAAUAAUAGCUACUUGGUGUGAGAUUCCCUCCUUCUGUUUUGGGAAGUGCAGCCGGGAUUUGGGGAGCCAGGGGAAAUAAGUGAGGUGAUUUUUAUGCUUUGGAUUCAGAGCGCUGCAAUCUGCCUACAUAGUUCCACUUGGUUUCAGCUUAUGUGAAUUUGGAACAGAGAUUGUUUUGAAAAAAAUGGAGUGAGAGCUAGCUGGGCAGAAAAUACAUUUACAACAGCAGGUCACACAUCAUGGGGAAACAUCUAUGGGAUACAUUGUGGGGAGUAAAGUCUGGCUGCAGAUCAGUGCUGCAGGGAAGCAUUAGGAAAAAUUUUCUAGUAUUUGCUUUUUAUUAAAACAAAUCCCCACAUACAUUUUCUGUGGAAAGGAAGCAUUUCGUACAGAAAUUCUCCACAAAGAAAGACCAAAGCUACUCUCUAUAAAAACCUUUCACAUUUUACCUGGAAACAUUUCUAUCUAUCUCAUGUCAUCUCAGAGGUGAAGGCUCUGACCCUCAGACUGAGGAUCAGGAUAACCUAUCUGGAUGAGGAUGAGGAGCACAGUUCUUACAGGAGGAUGGACAAAACUACAAAAUGGGACACAGCAUGCAUUCCAUACCUUCUAAGAAACAUGGGAUAGCAAGGGUGAGAAUUCUAGCCUCUCCAGCUCUUGUUUCUCCAAAAGCUACUUUGUAGGUGAGCAGUAGUUUCUACUGCACCAGAGCAAGCCCAUCCACCUUCAUUAGCAACACAGACCCCCAAAAGACAAGAUACUUUACUAUAAAGAAUGCUUUUGCUUUUUUUUUCUGCAAUGCAUUCGUUCCUAAGCACAAACCUAGCUCAUAUACAUAGCUGAUUUUUUUCAAUACAUUUCCAGAGUGUGCAUGCUGAUGGAACAAAAAAACUCCAAAUGUAAGGAAACUCAUUCAUUUGGUUCGCAUUGAUGCUCUCCUUCCAGCUAAUGACUAAUACUGGCUUUAAAGAAACCUGCAUUGUCAUUGAGAAGUAUUGCAUGAAAAGUAAAUAGCCUCAGAAAUCACUGUGGUAACAGGUCAUAAAUCAGUUAAAGAAUAAUAUCAAAUAAUAAAAAUAGUAUUUUUCCACUACA